GCGCGUAGGCGGCAGGAGAAGUCUGAUGUGAAAUUCCGGGGCUCAACCCCGGAGCUGCAUUGGAAACUGACCAGCUAGAGGUUGGUAAGGGAAAACGGAAUUCCACGUGUAGCGGUGAAAUGCGUAGAUAUGUGGAAGAACACCGGUGGUGAAGACGGUUUUCUGUGCCAAACCUGACGCUGAGGCGCGAAAGCUAGGGGAGCAAACAGGAUUAGAUACCCUGGUAGUCCUAGCCGUAAACGAUGCAUACUAGAAGUAGGAAGGCUCAACCCUUUCUGUUUCGGAGCUAACGCGUUAAGUAUGCCACCUGGGGAGUACGCUCGCAAGGGUGAAACUCAAAAGAAUUGACGGGGGCCCGCACAAGCAGUGGAGCAUGUGGUUUAAUUCGAUGCAACGCGAAGAACCUUACCUGGGCUCGAAAUGUAGAGGACUAGAUAAGAGAUUGUCUAUCCCGAAAGGGUCUCUAUAUAGGUGCUGCAUGGCUGUCGUCAGCUCGUGCCGUGAGGUGUUUGGUUAAGUCCAGCAACGAGCGCAACCCUUAUCGUUAGUU
rnacentral:rRNA from 1 species